rnacentral:lncRNA from 10 species
UCCUGCCCCACCUUAGCUGAGUGAUUAACCCUGUGAAUUUCCUUCUCCUGGCUCAGAAGCUCCCCGACUGAGCACCUUGUGACCCCCGCCCCUGCCCACCAGAGAACAACCCCCUUUGACUGUAAUUUUCCAUUACCUUCCCAAAUCCUAUAAAACGGCCCCACCCCUAUCUCCCUUCGCUGACUCUCUUUUCGGACUCAGCCCGCCUGCACCCAGGUGAAAUAGACAGCCAUGUUGCUCACACAAAGCCUGUUUGCUGGUCUCUUCACACUGACUCGAGUGAAAUUUGGUGCCGUGACUAGGAUCGGGGGACCUCCCUUGGGAGAUCAAUCCCCCGUCCUCCUACACUUUGCUCUGUGAGAAAGAUCCACCUACAACCUCAGGUCCUCAGACCAACCAGCCCAAGAAACAUCUCACCAAUUUCAAAUCCGGUAAGCGGCCUCUUUUUACUCUUUUCUCCAGCUUCCCUCACUGUCCCUCAACCUCUUUCUCCUUUCAAUCUUGGUGCCACACUUCAAUCUCUCCCUUCUCUUAAUUUCAAUUCCUUUCAUUUUCUGGUAGAGACAAAGGAGACACGUUUUAUCCGUGGACCCAAAACUCCGGCGCCAGUCACGGACUGGGAAGGCAGCCUUCCCUUGGUGUUAAAUCACUGCAGGGACGCCUCUCUGAUUAUUCACCCAUGUUUCAAAGGUGUCAGACCACGCAGGGACGCCUGCCUUGGUCCUUCACCCUUAGUGGCAAGUCCUGCUUUUCUGGGGAAGGGGCAAGUACCCCAACCCCUUCUCUCUGUGUCUCUACCCCUUCUCUGCUUUUCUGGGGGAGGGGCAAGUACCCCUCAACCCCUUCUCCUUCACCCUUAGUGACAAGUCCUGCUUUUCUAGGAGGCAAGAACCCCCAAUCCCUUAUUUCCACACCCUGACCUCUUAUCUCUGUGCCCCAAUCCCUUAUUUCCACACCCCAACCUCUUAUCUCUGUGCCCCAAUCCCUUAUUUCCGUGCCCCAACCCCCCUUCCCACUUUUCUGGAGGAUAAGAACCCCCGAACCCCUUCCCUCCGUGUCUCUAUGCUCUCUUUUCUCUGGGUUUGCCUCCUUCACUAUGGGCAACCUUCCACCUACCAUUCCUCCUUCUUCUCCUUUAGCCUAUAUUCUUAAGAAUUUAAAACCUCUUCAACUCUCACCUGACCUAAAAUCUAAGCAUCUUAUUUUCUUCUGCAAUGCCACUUGACCCCAAUACAAACUUGACAGUAGUUCCAAAUAGCCAGAAAAUGGCACUUCCAAUUUUUCCAUCCUACAAGAUCUAAAUAAUUCUUUUCGUAAAAUGGGCAAAUGGUCUGAGGUGCCUGACAUCCAGGCAUUCUUUUACACAAUAGUCCCUUCCUAGUCUCUGUGCCCAGUGCAACUUCUCCCAAAUCUUCCUUCUUUCCCUCCUGCCUGUCCCCUCAGUCCCAACCCCAAGCAUCGCUGAGUCUUUCUAAUCUUCCUUUUCUACAGACCCAUCUGACCUCUCCCCUCCUUGCCAGGCCAAGCUACGUCCCAAUUCUUCCUCAGCCUCCGCUCCUCCACCCUGCAAUCUUUUUAUCACCUCCCCUCCUCACACCUGGUCCUGCUUACAGUUUCAUUCUGUGACUAGCCCUCCCCCACCUGCCCAGCAAUUUACUCUUAAAAAAGUGGCUGGAGCCAAAGGCAUAGUCAAGGUUAAUGCUCCUUUUUCUUUAUGCCAAAUCAGAAGUGUUUAGGCUCUUUUUCAUCAAAUAUAAAAACCCAGCCCAGUUCAUGGCUCGUUUGGCAGCAACCCUGAGACGCUUCACAGCCCUAGACCCUAAAAGGUCAAAAGGCCAUCUUAUUCUCAAUAUACAUUUUAUUACCCAAUCUGCUCCUAACAUUAAAUAAAACCCCAAAAAUUGGAAUCUGGUCCUCAAACCCCACAACAGGACUUAAUUAACCUCACCUUCAAGGUGUACAAUAAUAAAAAAAAGUUGCAAUUCCUUGCCUCCACUGUGAGACAAAGCCCAGCCACAUCUCCAGCACACAAGAACUUCCAAACCCCUGAACUGCAGCAGUCAGGCAUUCCUCCAGAACCUCCUCCCCCAGGAGCUUGCUACAAGUGCCAGAAAUCUGACCACCAGGCCAAGGACUGCCGGCAGCCCAGGAUUCCUCCUAAGCCACGUCCCAUCUGUGUGGGACCCCACUGCAAAUCGGACUGUUCAACUCACCUGGCAGCCACUCCCAGAGCCCCUGGAACUCUGGCCCAAGGCUCUCUGACUGACUCCUUCCCAGAUCUUCUCGGCUUAGCGGCUGAAGACUGACACUGCCCGAUUGCCUCGGAAGCCCCCUAGACCAUCAUGGACGCCGAGCUUCAGGUAACUCUCACAGUGGAAGGUAAGCCCGUCCCCUUCUUAAUCAAUAUGGAGGCUACCCACUCCACAUUACCUUCUUUUUAAGGGCCUAUUUCCGUUGCCUCCAUAACUGUUGUGGGUAUUGACGGCCAGGCUUCUAAACCUCUUAAAACUCCCCAACUCUGGUGCCAACUUAGACAAUACUCUUUUAAGCACUCCUUUUUAGUUAUCCCCACCUGCCCAGUUCCCUUAUUAGGCUGAGACACUUUAACUAAAUUAUCUGCUUCCCUGACUAUUCCUGGACUACAGCUAUAUCUCAUUGCCGCCCUUCUUCCCAAUCCAAAGCCUCCUUUGCAUCCUCCUCUUGUAUCUCCCCAACUUAACCCACAAGUAUAAGAUACCUCUACUCCCUCCUUGGUGACCGAUCAUGCACCCCUUACCAUCUCAUUAAAACCUAAUCACCCUUACCCCACUCAACGCCAAUAUCCCAUCCCACAGCACGCUUUAAAAAGAUUAAAGCCUGUUAUCACUGGCCUGCUACAGCACAGCCUUUUAAAGCCUAUAAACUCUCCUUACAAUUCACCCAUUUUACCUGUCCUAAAACCAGACAAGCCUUACAACUUAGUUCAGGAUCUAUGCCUUAUCAACCAAAUUGUUUUGCCUAUCCACCCCGUGGUGCCAAAACCAUAUACUCUCCUAUCCUCAAUCCCUGCCUCUACAACCCAUUAUUCUGUUCUAGAUCUCAAACAUGCUUUCUUUACUAUUCCUUUGCACCCUUAAUCCCAGCCUCUCUUCGCUUUCACUUGGACUGACCCUGACACCCAUCAAGCUCAGCAAAUUACCUAGGCUGUACUGCCGCAAACCUUCACAGACAGCCCCCAUUAUUUCAAUCAAGCCCAAAUUUCUUCCUCAUCUGUUACCUAUCUUGGCAUAAUUCUCAUAAAAACACACAUGCUCUCCCUGCCAUUCUUGUCAGACUGAUCUCUCAAACCCCAGCACCUUCUACAAAACAACAACUCCCUUCCUUCCUAGGCAUAGUUGGUGCAGUCAGAAUUCUUACACAAGAGCCAGGACCGCACCCUGUAGCCUUUCUGUCCAAACAACUUGACCUUACUGUUUUAGCCUAGCCCUCAUGUCUGCGUGCAGCGGCUGCCGCUGCUUUAAUACCGUUAGAGGCCCUAAAAAUCACAAACUAUGCUCAACUCACUCUCUACAUUUCUCAUAACUCCCAAAAUCUAUUUUCUUCCUCAUACCUGAUGCAUAUACUUUCUGCUCCCUGGCUCCUUCAGCUGUACUCACUCUUUAAGUCCUACAAUUACCAUUGUUCCUGGCCCGGACUUCAAUAAGGCCUCUCACAUUAUUCCUGAUACCACACCUGACCCCCAUGACUGUAUCUCUCUGAUCCACCUGAUAUUCACCAUUUCCCCAUAUUUCCUUCUUUCCUGUUCCCCACCCUGAUCACGCUUGAUUUAUUGAUGGCAGUUCCACCAGGCCUAAUCGCCACACACAAGCAAAGGCAGGCUAUGCUGUAGUACAAGCCACUAGCCCGCCUCUCAGAACCUCUCAUUUCCUUUCCAUCCUGGAAAUCUAUCCUCAAGGAAAUAACUUCUCAGUGUUCCAUCUGCUAUUCUACUACUCCUCAGGGAUUAUUCAGGCCCCCUCCCUUCCCUACACAUCAAGCUUGAGGAUUUGCCCCCACCCAGGACUGGCAAAUUAGCUUUACUCAACAUUCCGGAGCCAGGAAACUAAAAUACCUCUUAGGCUGAAUAGACACUUUCACUGAAUAAGUAAAGGCCUUUCCUACAGGGUCUGAGAAGGCCACCGCAGUCAUUUCUUCCCUUCUGUCAGACAUAAUUCCUCAGUUUAGCCUUCCCACCUCUAUACAGUCUGAUAACAGACCAGCCUUUAUUAGUCAAAUCAGCCAAGCAGUUUUUCAGGCCCUUAGUAUUCAGUGAAACCUUUACAUCCUUUACGGUCCUCCGUCUUCAAGAAAAGUAGAAUGGACUAAAGGUCUUUUAAAAACACACCUCACCAAGCUCAGCCACCAACUUAAAAAGGACUGGACAAUACUUUUACCACUUUCGCUUCUCAGAAUUCAGGCCUGUCCUCAGAAUGUUACAGGAUACAGCCCAUUUAAGCUCCUGUAUAGAUGCUCCUUUUUAUUAGGCCCCAGUCUCAUUCAACACCAGACCAACUUAGACUGUGCCCCAAAAAAACUUGUCAUCCCUACUAUCUUCUGUCUAGUCAUACUCCUAUUCACCAUUCUCAACUACUCAUACAUGCCCUGCUCUUGUUUACACUGCCGGUUUACACUGUUUCUCCAAGCCAUCACAGCUGAUAUCUCCUGGUGCUAUCCCCAAACUGCCACUCUAAACUCUUGAAGUAAAUAAAUAAUCUUUGCUGGCAAGGCUAGGCUGAACCUCCUUGGGCACUCUCUAAUCAGAUGUCCUAGGUCCUCCCAAUUCUUAGACCUUUUAUACCUGUUUUUCUCCUUCUCUUAUUCCAUUUAGUUUUUCAAUUCAUACAAAACCGUAUCCAGGCCAUCACCAAUCAUUCUAUACGACAAAUGUUUCUUCUAACAACCCCACAGUAUCACCCCUUACCGCAAGAUCUUUCUUCAGCUUAAUCUCUCCCACUCUAGGUUCCCACACCGCCCCUAAUCCCACUCAAAGCACCCCUGAGAAACAUCGCCCAUUCUCUCUCCAUACCACCUGCAAAAAUUUUCGCCGCCCCAACACUUCAACACUAUUUUGUUUUAUUUUUCUUAUUAAUAAAAGAAGGCAGGAAUGUCGGGCCUCUGAGCCCAAGCCAAGCCAUCGCAUCCCCUGUGACUUGCAUGUAUAUGCCCAGAUGGCCUGAAGUAACUGAAGAAUCACAAAAGAAGUAAAAAGGCCCUGCCCUGCCUUAACAGAUGACAUUCCACCAUUGUGAUUUGUUCCUGCCCCACCUUAGCUGAGUGAUUAACCCUGUGAAUUUCCUUCUCCUGGCUCAGAAGCUCCCCGACUGAGCACCUUGUGACCCCCGCCCCUGCCCACCAGAGAACAACCCCCUUUGACUGUAAUUUUCCAUUACCUUCCCAAAUCCUAUAAAAUGGCCCCACCCCAUGUCCCUUCGCUGACUCUCUUUUUGGACUCAGCCCGCCUGCACCCAGGUGAAAUAGACAGCCAUGUUGCUCACACAAAGCCUGUUUGCUGGUCUCUUCACACGGACUCGAGUGAAAAUACACACGCACACACACACAAAUGGACAUUUACCCCACUCCUGCUUUUGUGCUAUUGUGGUCAUGCAUAGUAUUUCUUUUUUGCUGUUGUUUUUCUUGUUGUUUUCACUGUCAUACAGGUAUUUAUGAUGGAAACAGAAUCAGAGUCUGACCUUCCUGACUUGAAGUACAAGUGAUAGAUCACAACAAGAGAUCAUGAAGAGGGCAUGGCCGCCAUGUCAUUCUGGAGAGAGACAGAGUAAAACAAAGAAGAGUCUUGUUCUGCAACCCAGGCUGGAGUGGAGGGCAGUGGUGUGAUCUCGGCUCACUUCAACCUCCGCCUCUUAGGUUCAAGUGAUUCUCCUGCCUCAGCCUCCCGAGUAGCUGGGACUACAGCAGCCUCUCUACAAGUCUCCUAACUUAACCUGAUGGGAAAACACUUCCUACCACUAACAGCAUCUACUUGAUUACUGAUACUUUGAUCAUGGAGUUUGGGCAUGCCACUUGAUAGAAAUUUGAAGAGCAAUUAUAUUUUUCAAAAAGAGUUUUGAAUAAUGUUAAGAUAGAUUGCAACAUGACUAUCAAUUCUUCCCUUCCCAUCAAAGGAGAGAGUCCGUUUAUCCAGCCUUUGAAUCUUGAUUAUUCAUGUGACUUGCUUCACCCAAUGUAACAUUAAUAAGCACAAUACAAGCAGAGGCUUGCCAAGAACUUGGUUUGUUUCUAAUGCUUAGAAGAAGAAUGGUGUAUGCCAUAUUUCUGCAUUUAGAACUCACGUGGAGACAUGUGUGGCCCAAUUGCUUCUCUUUCAUCUCAGGCAAUAACCAGACACGGGACUGAGGCCAUCCAUGACCAGCCAGCCCUAGCCAACACACAACACACAAGCUGAUCACAGAUGCAUGAGUAAGCCUGAGACCAGCCAAGACCAGCCUAGAAUAGAACUGCUCAGCAGCAAUAAAAACUAAAUAAAUUGUUACCUUAAGCUACUUUUAGAGCUAUUUGGAAGUGUAUUUUUGUGCAGCUAACAUUUACUAGCAGAUAAAAUGGUGAUUGUUUAUCUCUGUUUUAUUGAUGUUUUAAGGAAAUUGUUUCUAUUAAAAGGAAAUAUCUGGUCUUUGUCACGUUAAAUCAGGUUUAGCCUGAAGUUGUCUCCUUAAAUUUGCGGCACAACUCCCACCCUGCAAUACUUCAAAUUGUUUCACCUUUUUUGACAGAACCAAGUGAGAAAUUCCUAAAAAGAUAAGCAGCAUGACAAAGAAGACAAAGGGAAGAUGCCAGACAACCUGGAAAUUGGAUAAUGGAGACCCAGGGAGGGUAUAAAAGAGAAACUACUUUGUAAUAAUUUAUAUUGAUUAUUCCUUUCAAUAGAUUUUGUGGAGUAGUUCAAUAUUCCCAUAAUCCAUUCUUUGUCACCUGAAGGAAAGGUGAAUGAGAUAGCUCAGAAGUUCCAUAACAAGGCAGUGGCAGGUUUGAGACCAUUGCUUUGUGUUUCUUAAUUUACCUGCCUUUUGUGUGUAUGAUGAGGAUUCCUGCCCUCUUAGCCACUAGUAAAAAAAAGAGAUAAAAAGUAUCAAGGUUUUUUUUUACUAUCAAAUUUUCUUUUUUAACUUGGCCAUCUCUGUCACCAAAUACAUUCUUACACAGAUAUAGUCUUAAAAUUUGUACAUAGUACAAAGCUAUCCACAAUAUUUGUGUUGAAUACAACACAUGUAUAUACAAGCAAGAAACUAACAUGAAUAACAAGUGAUGAGCUAAAGAUUCAUUCUCAAUUAGCCUUUUGUUUUUAUAAAGGGUGUGUGGCUGUUUUUCAUGUCAGUGAUCGUUGGUGUGAAACCAAUAUAGAGUCAGGAGAACAUACUCAUUGUAAUCAUACAUAAUUUAGGACUAGAUGAUGCUUUUUCAACUUCAUUGUGUAUAAAAUAGAUUUAAUUAUGUUGAAGAUGAUGUACAGAAAUGAGUUACUUAGUUACUGAAUGAACUAGCCAAAAUUUCAGCAUUCAUAUCUCAUCAACUGUUGCUAUUUAUCAUUCAAACCUUUAGUAACUCUCAGGAAUCUGAACUUUACUGACUUAUGUGAGAAAUGCACAAGCCACAGAAGUAUUCACAAAUUUAGAAAUCUACUAAGCUCUCAGAAUAUGUAUUUGCAAGAUAAGGUGAACUUUUAUCCCCUGGGACAAACCUGUGUUACACUGAUUGACUCAGCAUUAUAAUUAGUAGUGCCCUUUCACUAUUGAUAUGCUCUUUAUUAGAUGAUGGAUUAAAUGGCUUUCUGGGUCAUUGAUUACAAGAUUCUAUCUUAUAACCAUAUUUUAAUAUUAAAUAUUUAUCAAGAUGUUCAUGUACUAUAUCAGCAAAAAAUUACUAAAUGUAUAUAAGGUGGUUUUGACCUUGCCACUCAAUUAUUUACUAAAAGACUAAGAUGCUCUCUCAAGUAAAUACCUCGCUUUGGUAAAGUUCCAUUACUAAAACUCUCAAGUAUCUGAACUUUUCAUUAUGCUUCCCUAUACUUCUUUUUCAAUCCAGUUUGUCAGUGCCUGUUCAUAGCCUAAUAGAGCAGUUCUCACAGUAUUAGGGGUCAUCAACACUCUGUCAGUGCGUACACGACUAUUUUUAAAAUAAACUAAAAUGCUGUUUGUCUUUUUCACUCUUAUUCUCUAAUGAGUGUCUGGUACAGUUUUCCAGAGGUUACAUGAUGUGUGAUGAUAUCAUCACUCUGAUAGCUAAUGGAAAGUAUGACUGUAUAUUCUGUAAUGUUCCAGGAGUUUCUGAGGUUUAGGUUUAGGUUAUAAAAGGGGGCAUAUGUUCAGAGAUUAACUCAAUUUUUUCUCAGUACUUCUAUUGUGUUUUUACUAAGUACCUUUUCUUAUAUUUGCUAUAAUCUGUAUAAACUUAUUGUCAUACAAUAAAUCAAUAUUUUAAAAUCCCAAUGAUUUCUUUAUGACUACACAAAAACAAGUAGUAAUC